rfam:Ixodes scapularis strain Wikel colony gcontig_1108378918190, whole genome shotgun sequence.
GGUGGAGUGGUGUAGAGGUUAGCACACCCGACCGGACAUCGGGAGGCCCAGAGUUCAAAUCCUGGCUCCGCCG